UACAGAGGUCCCAAGCGUUGUUCGGAUUCACUGGGCGUAAAGGGUGCGUAGGUGGCAGGGUAAGUUUGAUGUGGAAUCUCCGAGCUUAACUCGGAAACUGCAUUGAAUACUAUCCUGCUCGAGGGUUGGAAGGGGGACUGGAAUUCUCGGUGUAGCAGUGAAAUGCGUAGAUAUCGAGAGGAACACCAGUGGCGAAGGCGAGUCCCUGGACAACACCUGACACUGAGGCACGAAAGCUAGGGGAGCAAACAGG
rnacentral:rRNA from 1 species